rnacentral:rRNA from 1 species
GUGAGGAAUAUUGGUCAAUGGGCGCAAGCCUGAACCAGCCAUCCCGCGUGAAGGAAGAAGGCCCUACGGGUUGUAAACUUCUUUUCUGUUUGAAGAAUAAGCUCGUCGAGACGAGUGAUGCCGGUAGGACAGGAAUAAGCAUCGGCUAACUCCGUGCCAGCAGCCGCGGUAAUACGGAGGAUGCAAGCGUUAUCCGGAUUUAUUGGGUUUAAAGGGUGCGCAGGUGGUUUAAUAAGUCAGUGGUGAAAGUCUGGCGCUUAACGUUAGGAUUGCCAUUGAUACUGUUAGACUUGAAUAUGGAUGAGGUAGGCGGAAUGUGUAGUGUAGCGGUGAAAUGCUUAGAUAUUACACAGAACACCGAUUGCGAAGGCAGCUUACUAAUCCAUCAUUGACGCUGAGGCACGAAAGCGUGGGGAUCAAACAGGAUUAGAAACCCCUGUAGUCC